rnacentral:lncRNA from 1 species
GUAAAUAUGGACCAAUGAUGACCUUGUCUAUAUUAUAAGUCAUAGACGAUGACAACAUACUGGAUUCUGAGGUUCAUACCAUAAGAUGUCUCAAGUGCCCCUCUUGGACAGCUGGCAAAAGUUAGACAUGUGCAGUAUAUACUGUGCACAAGAGUCAGGCACUCUCAUAAUUUUCUUAUAUUGUGAUCAAUGAAUUACGAUAUAAACAUAAAUACACUUGCAGAUAAAUUACUAGAGCCAUCAACUAAUUAUGAAAAUAAAUAUUUGACCCCAAAUACUACUAAUUCAUUUGGAAAAUCUGAAAGUCUGUUAAGAAAUCAUUGGCAUAAAGAUGUAUAUAACCUUUAUCCAAAUUGACAUAUUCGGUGUAAUUAAUGGCUUACCCUCUAGUGAGGGUUAAGGCCUUCAUUUGAAAUGUUAUUUGAUUUCUUAAGAAACUUUCAUAGUAAUUUGAAUCUUAAGUAACAAGUAAUGGAAAGAGAAAUGUAGAAAGAAUUGGAAAGUAUCAAUUUUUUUUUUUUAUUCUCUUUGCUCUUUUGUCCUACCUGGAUGGAUGCUGCCUAACACCUUGUUUCCUGGCUAGGAGGUUCAUGCUGCCAUAUCCCCCUGUUUAACAAGUGUGGAAACUGAUAAUGGACUCACAAUUGCUGAUGUAUAGGUUCUAAUGUUUUCUAUUGUGGACACGGGACACCCAGACUGAGAACCAAUGGCUCCAGUCUGAUUUAAACAUGGGUCCGUGCUCACACACUCAAUACCUACCCUCUGUGCUCACAAGUCCUGUGUGAGUAAGACUCCAAAUUAUUCUGUCUUGUUUUACUCAAUGGUAUGCUCUACCUUAUUAUAGAGUAUACCAUGUAUUGAGACAAGAAUGCCAGUCAUUCUGAGAAACAAAAUGCAACCAUUAGUUGUCAUUUUAAUUAGUGACGAAUAGUUGUGUCAAUCAUCAAACAUGCUUGUAUAAUUGGAUGAGAAGAGGUGUAACACGGGCCAAUGAUGACGAGGUUUCGGGAUUAUAAGUCACGGACGAUGACUACGUCACUAGAGGUCUGAGGUCCAUAGCAGAAGAUGCCUCAUGUGACCCUCUCAUGCAGGGGUUGCAUGUCAGGCAUGUGCAUACAGUAGAUAUUAGCCAUGCACUCUCACCAUUUCAUAGUAGAUCACAGAAUCAAGAUACAAAUCUCCAUGCACGGAAAGGAUUUAAGGCAUUGAUCAAUCCUGAACAUAAAUAUUUGGCCAUCAAUGAUAUUUACGCACACACUGAAAAAUCUAUUCAGAAUGACUUACACAAAGGUUUAUAUAACCUUUAUCAAAGGUAAUUUAUAUAGUAAGAUUCAUGGCUGAAGUCUUCAUGAUGGUCAAGGCCUUAAUUUUUAAAAUUAUCAAUUUUUUUCUUUUCUUUUUUUUUAACUUGAAUUUUUUUUUAAUGAAAACUAUCAUGACAAUUUGUCUCUUAAAUGAAAGGAGAAAUGUAAAACUAAAUGGACAAAUAUCAACCUUUUUAUUAUCUUUGCUGUUGUGCCCUCCCUGGAUGGGUGCUGGCACAUGAUGUCUUGCCUGCUGGUCCGUGGUUGCACUCUCACCAUGUGGAUGGAGCUCGGCAGCUGAAGUAAGUGAAGCCAAAGAUCUGCUCUUCAUUUGAGUUUCUUUGAUAAGACACCCCUGCUGUGGUAAAGCCAUGCAUAGGCUCCUUUCAGCCCUAUUCAGACUGUGUGCUCAACGCAACAUGACCACAAACACUGGGUUAAGAAUAGCCAAAAUUAAGACAGAGAGGCAGGGUGGCACAAGAUCUGUUAGUUAUUCAACAAACGAGGAUAGGAAUUUGUGAGGAAGACUUUACAAGUGAGAUGAAUAGUUAGGCAAUCCAUCACAACUAUAGGUCUGAGAGUCUCAGGUCCACACCAGAACACAGGUACAGCUACAGCUGUGAGCUAGAUAUCAGAAGUGGUUUAAUAUGUUAUCUUGAUCUUUAUAUUCAUGAGUUUUCAUUUUAUUUUUAUAAGGUAGCUAAAAUAUAACAAACAAUAGCACAUUGCAAUCUCAAAUUAUGAACAAUACACACAUCCAAAUUUCUAAGUGCAUUUUGAAUAUGUAGACGAGAUCUUUGUCCAGUGAUCGAUUUCUUAUAUUGGCAGAGCAGUUCUUAUAGUUAUCUUCCCUUCCCCAGAAAAGAGUACCAUGCAUUAUGUUUGUGGAAAAAAACACAAAACAACAUAAUUAUCAUUGGAACGAAUAUAAUUAUGUGCCUAGUCUGUUUUGUUUACAUCUGUAUGUGAUAUCUCAAGCUGUCUUCCCUUUCCUACCUAGUCCUGACACCUCUGACUAGCCUUGGGUCUUUAGAGCACAUUAGGCUGUGUAAAUGCAGUU